rnacentral:lncRNA from 1 species
CCGGGGGGCGGGCACCCGGAGGCGGCCCAGGCGGGGGUCUCCCCCGGGGCCUGGGGCGGGCCGAAGAUGUCCAGGCCUGGCCGGAGCCGCCUCCUGAUUGACGAGGCCCGCAUGGGAGUGCGGACGUGCAGCACAGAUUUGCGGGUCUCCUGGGCCUCUUGGGCGGUGAUCAGCGCGGACCUUGGGCCAACCGGGGAAGCAGGCCGGAGCACUACCCCCCACCCCCAUUUUAGAACAUCCUUCUGAGGGCUUCGCUGACCUCGGCUUGAACUCCUUCAGAGCCGGAGAGAUCACUCCUUCCACCACCGAGGGAGAGGAGGCAAAAUGAAUUUGCCAGCUUUGAAUUCAUUCUCAAGGCUCCGCUAGUCUCACAGCCAGUGAACUCAGUCUGGAAUUCCUGAAAGCUCAGAAAACUGCUGCUUAGGUGGCAGCUGAGCAUCCCUGGAGAGGGUGGGUGGUAUGAAAGCACUUCCAGACCUCUAGGGACACCAGGGAGUCAUGGUCCCAGCACAUUGCUGUGUGAUUGAGCCCCUCCUCAGCCUGUGGGUGGCCUAAGUUCACAGGGAGGUAAUGGGGUAGAUUGGAUACCUCUGGGGUCUUGGAAGAAGCUAUGACUUAUUUACUGUCUACUAUGUGCCAGCUGUGGGGCCCCUGCGACUGUGCUGUUUUCAAGGACACACGGUCCCAGAUGCCUCCACAAUUCUGAGCUGUUCAAUGAGUGGCUCUGGUCCUUCUCCCCCCUCUAUUAAAAUGGAAAAAAGAAAGAAAGAAAGAAAGAAAUCCAGGCAUUGUUCCUGACUGCAGCUGGUGCCAACCAGAAUCCCACUGAACAGAAUGGAGCCGAGAGCCCGGCUGCCCAGGGGCCUGGCUGCUGACACAGGGCCUUUCUAUUUUGCUUUCCACUGGGGGCCCAGGCUGACGGUGCAGCCCCUCCACGGACACCCUCUCCACCUGCCUCCCUGGCCCUGGCUCUGAGCCUCCUGCUGCCUUCACCCUCUUUGCAAAAAUCAGAUGGCACUUGGGGGAGGGUUGGAGGAGCACCCCCACCCCCUGCUUUCCUUCUUCAUCCACUCACAGCCUGGGGUGCGCUGGGCCUCCCUCCCCGCCAGCCUGUCCUCCCACCCUACCAGGAGGGG